UACGGAGGGUGCGAGCGUUGUCCGGAAUCACUGGGCGUAAAGGGCGCGUAGGCGGCCUGGCAAGUCGGUGGUGAAAGCCCGUGGCUCAACUACGGGUCGGCCACCGAUACUGCUAUGGCUCGAGUUUGGUAGAGGCAGAUGGAAUUCCGGGUGUAGCGGUGGAAUGCGUAGAGAUCCGGAAGAACACCGGUGGCGAAGGCGGUCUGCUGGGCCAAUAUUGACGCUGAGGUGCGAAAGCGUGGGGAGCAAACAGG
rnacentral:rRNA from 1 species